CUUGUGUGUGUCACUGAGCUUGUCUGUAGUGUGCUUAAAUGAAUGUUUGUCAGGGGUCUUGUGUGUGGCAGUAAACUUGUCUGUAGUAAGCUUGUGCAUGGGUCAGAGAGGAAUUGGUGUGUACCAGUGAGCUUGUUUGUGUCAGUGAGCCUGUCUGUAGUGAGCGUGUGAGUCAAUGAGCUUUUCUGUAGUCAACUUGUGUGUGUGUGUGUGUAUUGGAUCCCAGUACUCCAGCUGAGUACAUCCGUGAAGAAUCUCCCAAGUCCCAAGCACCGUAGUGAUUAUAAGUGUAAAUAUAGCUCCCAAUCCCCCAAACAUGAGCCU